GUGCGUGUGUGUGUUGUGUGCGCGUGCGCGCGCGCGUGCGCGUGCUCAUGUGUGUGUUAUAUCCCUAAAUAUGUAGAUAGAACCUGCUCUGUAUAAAGUUACUUGUGCGUAGGUUUUCAGGCUGACCAUUCGGUAUCAGAUAACCAGUCGGUCUGCUCUUCCCUGGCAGGACUGUUUCUGCCCUCAUGCGCCUUGGCUGCCUGUGGUUCUUUGUGUGUGAGAGAGGCCUGGUGGCUUCCUCCCUUCCACGUUAGCUUGUCUGUUAUUACCCCUGUUCGGCUCAGAUUUAGGCAGCCAUCUUGAUGAGGCUUCACAGGCGUUGCUUCUGACGUCUGUUUCCAGGGGACUGUUUUGCAGCUCGCUGCUCCUCCUCUGAUUCAUGAUCUUCCUGCCCCUCUUUAGUGACCCCUGAACCUGAGUGAAGGAGUGAUGGUGAAGGUGUAUCAGUCGGGCUUAGGCUUUACAACCCUGCAUUUUGAUUGGUUGUGGUUUUCUGUAAAGGACUUCAUCUGUCCCAAAGAGACAUUUGUUUACUUGCUGAGAGGUGAGAGCAGUACUCCCCCAGGCACUCACCUGGGGAGAGGAGGUACAGGGUUCCGCUCCAGUAGGCUCUCUUACAACUCUUCUGGUCCUCCUUCAGGCAACAGAUAGCACAGGACCGCUGGUGUUCUUGUUUUAGGAACUCCACAUUUACCCCGAGAUCCAUGACAUGGAUCGAUAUUAAACUGACACCCACCUGUCGCGUGUAGUCUCUGGAGAAGCUGGUUUAUCGCCUGCACACCCAACCUCCUUAGCUCACCGUAGCCCAGGGAGCAGUCUGAUGUUAUACAUUCUAGAUUUUAAGUUUAAAUGAGUGACCCAGUAGAAACUCCUUCAGAAGAUGAAAUGCCAGUGUGUAGUUGGGAAGUCUAUUCAUUGGAGAUUUUUUUAUGUAGAUUUUGGAGCUGUCUGGUGCUUCUCUGUCUGUGUAACUGGUACCCAGCAGUGUCCUGGACUCAUUGGUCGAUUCAUUUGAAUGUUUAGCAAUAUCAUUAUGUUGGUCAUCAGCUGCUUUUGCAUCCUGCGGUUUGGAACAAGAAAAAAAAUCCUGUAAAACCAGUAUAGUGAAGCACUGCACAUACAGUAAGGUUAUGGUGUGUGUAUGUGUGUGGGGGUGUGCACACAGGUGAGGUUAUAGUUGGGAGUUGCGCACACAGGUGAGGUUAUAGUUUGGGGUGUGCAUACAGAGGUGAGGUUAUAGUUGGGAGUGUGCACACACAAGUGAGGUAAUAGUUGGGGUGUGCACACACAGGUGAGGUUAUAGUUGGGGUGUGCAUACAGGUGAGGUUAUAGUUGGGAGUGUGCACACACAGGUGAGGUAAUAGUUGGGGGUGUGCACACACAGGUGAGGUUAUAGUUGGGGUGUGCACACACAAGUGAGGUAAUAGUUGGGGGUGUGCACACACAGGUGAGGUUAUAGUUGGGGUGUGCACACACAGGUGAGGUUAUAGUUGGGGUGUGCACACACAGGUGAGGUUAUAGUUGGAGUGUGCACACACAGGUGAGGUUACAGUUGGGGUAUGCAAACACUGGUGAGGUUAUAGCUGGGGGUGUGCACACACUGGUGGGGUUACAGUUGGGGUGUGCACAU